GGGCUGUUAGCUCAGCGGUAGAGCACACCCCUGAUAAGGGUGAGGCCCCAGGUUCAACUCCAGGACGGCCCA